GUCUGUGCCUCGCUGCCAAAAAGGCGAUUCCUCCAUGUGGACUCAGUAUUUUUUGUAUUGGAGUCAUUUCCAUAGUUAUGAAGGAACUGUAUCAAGUCUGUCAGGUUCUUCUCAUCAAGACAUCAUCUCAUUGUCUAACUGGCUACUGGGCUUUGUCCUUCUUCAUAUGUGAGAAGGAUUUACUCUCCAUCCCAUUCCCUGUCCACCUCGUAGCUGUUAAAGGGAGCUGCUGGACUUUGAAGUUUACAUGGCCUGGCUGGCGUUCCAGUGUAACCAAAACCAAUUGUAACAGAAAUUCUACAGCUGACCCUAGUUGGAGAAGAAAAAAAUUCAAGUGUAUCUUUCCAUUUUCUGAAGGCAAAUACUCACAGCUGCUCACAUUGCAAAUUGAUUUCCAACAAAGAAUGAAGUUUCGAAUGACUGCUACCUUUGCUUUGUAAUUUAGUGCACAUAUUCUAUAGCAGACAUAUAUAUUUUUUUAUCCCUUUCAUUAGAUUUCAAAACUGAAAUAGAGAAAAAAAUCCAGUCUGGAAAUAAAUAAAUAUUGAUGCCAAGUACUGAAGCA
rnacentral:lncRNA from 1 species